CACCGCCCGUCACGCUAUGGAAGCUGGUAACACCUGAAGUCGCUGAGCUAACCCGCAAGGGAGGCGAGGCGCCGAGGGUGGGACGAGUAACUGGAGCG
rnacentral:rRNA from 1 species